rnacentral:rRNA from 1 species
UACGAAGGGGGCUAGCGUUGUUCGGAAUUACUGGGCGUAAAGCGCACGUAGGCGGCGCAGCAAGUUAGAUGUGAAAUGCCUGGGCUUAACCUAGGAACUGCAUUUAAGACUGCUGUGCUAGAGACCGGGAGAGGGUGGCGGAAUUCCCAGUGUAGAGGUGAAAUUCGUAGAUAUUGGGAAGAACACCGGUGGCGAAGGCGGCCACCUGGACCGGCACUGACGCUGAGGUGCGAAAGCGUGGGGAGCAAACAGG